rnacentral:rRNA from 1 species
GACGAACGCUGGCGGCGUGCCUAAUACAUGCAAGUAGAACGCUGAAGGAGGAGCUUGCUUCUCCGGAUGAGUUGCGAACGGGUGAGUAACGCGUAGGUAACCUGCCUGGUAGCGGGGGAUAACUAUUGGAAACGAUAGCUAAUACCGCAUAACAGUAGAUGUUGCAUGACAUUUGCUUAAAAGGUGCAAUUGCAUUACUACCAGAUGGACCUGCGUUGUAUUAGCUAGUUGGUGAGGUAACGGCUCACCAAGGCGACGAUACAUAGCCGACCUGAGAGGGUGAUCGGCCACACUGGGACUGAGACACGGCCCAGACUCCUACGGGAGGCAGCAGUAGGGAAUCUUCGGCAAUGGACGGAAGUCUGACCGAGCAACGCCGCGUGAGUGAAGAAGGUUUUCGGAUCGUAAAGCUCUGUUGUAAGAGAAGAACGAGUGUGAGAGUGGAAAGUUCACACUGUGACGGUAUCUUACCAGAAAGGGACGGCUAACUACGUG